UGCAAGUCGAGCGGCAGCGCGGGGSCAACUCUGGCGGCGAGCGGCGAAGGGUGAGAMAKRKAUCGGAACGUACCCUGUCGUGGGGGAUAACACASCSWWWGCKGUGCUAAUACCGCAUACGACCUGAGGGUGAAAGCGGGGGACCGUAAGGCCUCGCGCGAUAGGAGCGGCCGAUAUCGGAUUAGCUAGUUGGUGAGGUAAAGGCUCACCAAGGCGACGAUCCGUAGCUGGUCUGAGAGGACGACCAGCCACACUGGAACUGAGACACGGUCCAGACUCCUACGGGAGGCAGCAGUGGGGAAUUUUGGACAAUGGGGGCAACCCUGAUCCAGCCMUUCCGCGUGAGUGAAGAAGGCCUUCGGGUUGUAAAGCUCUUUCAGCAGGAACGAAACGGUGGUCCCUAAUACGGGUUACUAAUGACGGUACCUGAAGAAGAAGCACCGGCUAACUACGUGCCAGCAGCCGCGGUAAUACGUAGGGUGCGAGCGUUAAUCGGAAUUACUGGGCGUAAAGCGUGCGCAGGCGGUUCUAUAAGACAGAUGUGAAAUCCCCGGGCUUAACCUGGGAACUGCGUUUGUGACUGUAGGACUUGAGUGUGGCAGAGGGGGGUGGAAUUCCACGUGUAGCAGUGAAAUGCGUAGAGAUGUGGAGGAACACCGAUGGCGAAGGCAGCCCCCUGGGUCAACACUGACGCUCAUGCACGAAAGCGUGGGGAGCAAACAGGAUUAKAUACCCUGGUAGUCCA
rnacentral:rRNA from 1 species